rnacentral:rRNA from 1 species
AUUGAACGCUGGCGGCAGGCCUAACACAUGCAAGUCGAACGGUAGCACAGAGAGCUUGCUCUCGGGUGACGAGUGGCGGACGGGUGAGUAAUGUCUGGGAAACUGCCUGAUGGAGGGGGAUAACUACUGGAAACGGUAGCUAAUACCGCAUAACGUCGCAAGACCAAAGAGGGGGACCUUCGGGCCUCUUGCCAUCAGAUGUGCCCAGAUGGGAUUAGCUAGUAGGUGGGGUAACGGCUCACCUAGGCGACGAUCCCUAGCUGGUCUGAGAGGAUGACCAGCCACACUGGAACUGAGACACGGUCCAGACUCCUACGGGAGGCAGCAGUGGGGAAUAUUGCACAAUGGGCGCAAGCCUGAUGCAGCCAUGCCGCGUGUAUGAAGAAGGCCUUCGGGUUGUAAAGUACUUUCAGCGGGGAGGAAGGGAGUAAGGUUAAUAACCUUAUUCAUUGACGUUACCCGCAGAAGAAGCACCGGCUAACUCCGUGCCAGCAGCCGCAGUAA